rnacentral:rRNA from 1 species
UGGCGGCGUGCUUACACAUGCAAGUCGAACGAACCUUCGGGUUAGUGGCGGACGGGUGAGUAACGCGUGAGAAUCUGCCCUCAGGAGGGGGAUAACGGUUGGAAACGACCGCUAAUACCCCAUAUGCCUAUUGGUGAAAUGAACUUCGCCUGAGGAUGAGCUCGCGUCUGAUUAGCUAGUUGGUGAGGUAAUGGCUCACCAAGGCUUCGAUCAGUAGCUGGUCUGAGAGGAUGAUCAGCCACACUGGGACUGAGACACGGCCCAGACUCCUACGGGAGGCAGCAGUGGGGAAUUUUCCGCAAUGGGCGAAAGCCUGACGGAGCAACGCCGCGUGAGGGACGAAGGCCUCUGGGCUGUAAACCUCUUUUCUCAAGGAAGAAGAUAUGACGGUACUUGAGGAAUAAGCCACGGCUAAUUCCGUGCCAGCAGCCGCGGUAAUACGGGAGUGGCAAGCGUUAUCCGGAAUUAUUGGGCGUAAAGCGUCCGCAGGCGGCUUUUCAAGUCUGCUGUUNAAGCGUGGAGCUUAACUCCAUCAUGGCAGUGGAAACUGA